rnacentral:rRNA from 1 species
GACGAACGCUGGUGGCGUGCCUAAUACAUGCAAGUUGAGCGCUGAAGGUUGGUACUUGUACCAACUGGAUGAGCAGCGAACGGGUGAGUAACGCGUGGGGAAUCUGCCUUUGAGCGGGGGACAACAUUUGGAAACGAAUGCUAAUACCGCAUAAAAACUUUAAACACAAGUUUUAAGUUUGAAAGAUGCAAUUGCAUCACUCAAAGAUGAUCCCGCGUUGUAUUAGCUAGUUGGUGAGGUAAAGGCUCACCAAGGCGAUGAUACAUAGCCGACCUGAGAGGGUGAUCGGCCACAUUGGGACUGAGACACGGCCCAAACUCCUACGGGAGGCAGCAGUGGGGAAUCUUCGGCAAUGGACGAAAGUCUGACCGAGCAACGCCGCGUGAGUGAAGAAGGUUUUCGGAUCGUAAAACUCUGUUGGUAGAGAAGAACGUUGGUGAGAGUGGAAAGCUCAUCAAGUGACGGUAACUACCCAGAAAGGGACGGCUAACUACGUG